rnacentral:rRNA from 1 species
AGCGAACGCUGCGGCAUGCUUAACNCAUGCAAGUCGACGCGAGGGGCAACUGCAGUGGCGGACGGGUGAGUAACGCGUAGGAAUCUAUCCUUGAAUGGGGGACAACCGUGGGAAACUACGGCUAAUACCGCAUGAUGCCUGAGGGCCAAAGACGAAAGUCGUUUGAGGAGGAGCCUGCGUCUGAUUAGGUAGUUGGUGGGGUAAAGGCCUACCAAGCCUACGAUCAGUAGCUGGUCUGAGAGGAUGAUCAGCCACAUUGGGACUGAGACACGGCCCAAACUCCUACGGGAGGCAGCAGUGGGGAAUAUUGGACAAUGGGCGCAAGCCUGAUCCAGCAAUGCCGCGUGGGUGAAGAAGGUCUUCGGAUUGUAAAGCCCUUUUGGCGGGGACGAUGAUGACGGUACCCGCAGAAUAAGCUCCGGCUAACUUCGUG